rnacentral:lncRNA from 1 species
GUAGAUUACCUUGUUGUUGCUGCUGUUGUGUGAUAACUGUAGUUCCACCAGUGUGUGAAGUGGUAUGAAUACUUGUCGUCCUAGUUGUAUGCUUUUUACAAAUGACAAUUAUAACAACUAUGACAACUAUAAAAAUGAUAAUUCCUACUAUCGCACCGGCUAUGGCACCACUGAAAGAGUUAGUAUUAAGUAUCAAUUAAUAUUCAAAUUAUGUACGUGGAUCAUAAAUAUAAACAAACCAUACUUAUCCAGAUGC